rnacentral:rRNA from 1 species
AAUAAGCGGAGGAAAAGAAACUAACAAGGAUUCCCCUAGUAACUGCGAGUGAAGCGGGAAAAGCUCAAAUUUAAAAUCUGGCGGUCUUUGGCUGUCCGAGUUGUAAUCUAGAGAAGUGUUAUCCGCGCUGGACCGUGUACAAGUCUCCUGGAAUGGAGCGUCAUAGAGGGUGAGAAUCCCGUCUUUGACACGGACUGCCAGGGCUUUGUGAUGCGCUCUCAAAGAGUCGAGUUGUUUGGGAAUGCAGCUCAAAAUGGGUGGUAAAUUCCAUCUAAAGCUAAAUAUUGGCGAGAGACCGAUAGCGAACAAGUACCGUGAGGGAAAGAUGAAAAGAACUUUGGAAAGAGAGUUAAACAGUACGUGAAAUUGCUGAAAGGGAAACGCUUGAAGUCAGUCGCGUUGUCCGGGGAUCAACCUUGCUUUUGCUGGGCGUACUUUCCGGUCGACGGGUCAGCAUCAAUUUUGACCGUUGGAUAAAGGCUGAGGGAAUGUGGCUCCUUCGGGAGUGUUAUAGCCCUUGGUCGCAUACAACGAUUGGGAUUGAGGAACUCAGCACGCCGCAAGGCCGGGUACUUGUACCACGUUCGUGCUUAGGAUGCUGGCAUAAUGGCUUUAAUCGACCCGUCUUGAAACACGGACCAAGGAGUCUAACAUGCCUGCGAGUGUUUGGGUGGAAAACCCGAGCGCGUAAUGAAAGUGAAAGUUGAGAUCCCUGUCGCGGGGAGCAUCGACGCCCGGACCAGACCUUUUGUGACGGAUCCGCGGUAGAGCAUGUAUGUUGGGACCCGAAAGAUGGUGAACUAUGCCUGAAUAGGGUGAAGCCAGAGGAAACUCUGGUGGAGGCUCGUAGCGAUUCUGACGUGCAAAUCGAUCGUCAAAUUUGGGUAUAGGGGCGAAAGACUAAUCGAACCAUCUAGUAGCUGGUUCC